CGGACGGGUGAGUAAUGUCUGGGAAACUGCCUGAUGGAGGGGGAUAACUACUGGAAACGGUAGCUAAUACCGCAUAACGUCGCAAGACCAAAGAGGGGGACCUUAGGGCCUCUUGCCAUCGGAUGUGCCCAGAUGGGAUUAGCUUGUUGGUGGGGUAACGGCUCACCAAGGCGACGAUCCCUAGCUGGUCUGAGAGGAUGACCAGCCACACUAGAACUGAGACACGGUCCAG
rnacentral:rRNA from 1 species